rnacentral:rRNA from 1 species
CUCGUAGGCGGUCUGUCACGUCGGGAGUGAAAACUCAGGGCUUAACCCUGAGCCUGCUUCCGAUACGGGCAGACUAGAGGUAUGCAGGGGAGAACGGAAUUCCUGGUGUAGCGGUGAAAUGCGCAGAUAUCAGGAGGAACACCGGUGGCGAAGGCGGUUCUCUGGGCAUUACCUGACGCUGAGGAGCGAAAGUGUGGGAGCGAACA